CAGGAGCGAGGCGUGGGCGGAGCUACGGAGAGCAGGCGGAGGGAGAAGGGGCUUCUGGAAACAAAGCCCUGGGAACGGAUUGUAGGCGGUGCUGGAGAGCGUCCAAGGUCCGGCCCAGGGUCGUGGUGGGACCUGCGUUGGUUGGGACAGUGGCCUGUGGGAGGAGCCCGGGGAGUAAGCACGCCCUAAGGCUGGACCAAGAAAGAACUGCGUGCCAGCCAAGUUGUGAGAGGGCCCAGGAGAGCUCUCAGACCAGCUGCACCUGGCUAGGGGUUUCUCUGUGUAACAGCCCAGACAGUCCUGGAACUCGCCACCAUCGGCUUGCUUCAGCAGGAUUUUUAAAAGAACUUGGAAGAGCUCUCCUUGAAACAUGGCAAAGAAAGGGUUUGUGAGAUGGCUCAGCAAGGAAAGGUGGUUGCCUAGCAAGUCUGACUGUCUGAGUUCGAUCCCAGGAACUCAGAAACUAGAAAGUCAGAUGCCUGUCUCGUGACAAGGAAC
rnacentral:lncRNA from 1 species